UGCUGUCAAUUCAAAAGAAAAUCAGAUUCAUAAUAACCAAAUCACUUUGUUUUCUCAGUUUCUCAUUGUUAUUUUAUCUGUUUUUCUUUUUCUUCCACUUUCUCAUCUUCUUAAGAAACUAGAAGUUCAAAAGAAGGAUUUUGUGUUUUUGCGUCUUGUUUACUAAACCCAUUAAUGGGAUUGUUAUUUGGAUUGGAAUUUUGAGUAAAGAGGUUUUCUUUUGACCUUAUGAAACUUGGAGCUCGGAUUCCCAUUGGUUUAUGUCGCUUUUCGUUUCAAUUCAAGAGUUCAGAUCUAGCUCGAUGUAGUAAGCUGAGAAAAGAUUACGACGUGGAGCUAUGGAGGCAAUGUGCUACAUAUUGUUGUCCUUGUAUAUAUAUAUAUCAUGGGUUGGGUGUUUCGGUGUUUAUGCGAAGUUAGUUCUUUAAAAAAUUUCCAAAGUAUGAAUGCUAAAAAUUUAAUUUGGAUUAUGUGGUUGAGGGAUUGUACAAUGUGGGUGCGCCAAAUUUAGCACUUUUGUGUCUUGCAUGUGAAAUGCUGGGUGAUUUGCCUUGAGUACCAAGUAGGGUGCUAUUAAUACAUUUAGCUAUUCAUAAGGGGGGGAAAUUCCAAUUAGUUUUGAUUAAGACCAGAAUUGACUUCUUGACACCUAUUAGGAUAUGUGUCACUAAAAGAAGAGAUGAGGGGUAAUGUUGUUAAUUCAAAAGAAAAUCAGAUUCAUAAUAACCAAUUCACUUUGUUUUCUCAGUUUCUCAUUGUUAUUUUCUCUGUUUUUCUUCUUCUUCCACUUUCUCAUCUUCUUAAGAAACUAGAAGUUCAAAAGAAGGAUUUUGUGUUUUUGCGGCUAGAUUACGAAACCCAUUAAUGAGAUUGGAAUUUGGAUUGGAAUUUUGAGUCAAGAGAUCUUAUUUUGACCUUACGAAACUUGGAGCUCGAAUUCCCAUUGGUUUAUGUCGCUUUUCGUUUCAAUUCAGGAUGUAUGCUUAAUCGAACUUCGAGAAUGCUGCCGACACUUGUAUUUGAGUAAGUUUUCAGUUAUGAUUCGCCAGGUUUUCAUAACUUGGUUUUUUUUGGAUGUUUCCUUGACGAAUACUGAUUUUAUUUCAGAACUAGUGGACUCUAUUAUAGGACCGUCAGGCCUUAAUUGGCACCCCAUCUACGGAUGGCAACCCGGAAGACCGUUUGUUUGAUAACGGUUGCUGGUAUCGGACUAUCCUGACAACGUUCGCCAAAGGAUUAGUAGAGUAAUUUUAUCUAUUUUCAAAUGACUGGCAGAUUAUAAAUGUUUAUGAACAAAUACUUUAAAUUUACUUAUGAAUUUCAGAUUCUAGUUUUAUGCUCUAAUGAUGCUUUAAGCUUUUGGAAUUUCAUUUGUAUAUUUCAUGGCAUUCGAUUAUUGUUAUACCCCCUACUGGGUUGUGGCUCACCCCGUUUUGUUUUGUUUUACCACAAAGUUCGGAGCUAGCUCGAUGUAGUAAGCUGAGAAAAGCUUACUGCGUGGAGAUAUGGACGCAAUGUGGUACAUAUUGUUGUCCUUGUAUAUAUAUAUAUCAAGGGCUGGGGUGUUUCGGUGUUUAUGCUAAGUUAGUUCUUAUAAAAAAUUUCCAAAGUAUGAAUGCUAAAAAUCUUGUACAGUUGAAUGAUAGUUUUGUACAAACAAUUUGUAUAUUUGGAUGUAGAUUUCUGUAGUUACCUUCAUUUUUCUUGUGGGAGUUGAGUAUCAAAUAUCUUUGCUUUUGGAAAAUUCUGUUCAAUACGAUGCUUUCUUUUUUGAUAUUGAGCAUCUUCGUUUAUCAUUAUUUUUAUUUAUAAUUUGAUCUUUAUAAUUGAGCCUUUUGAUUUUAAGAAAAUGAAAUCAUUUUGUCGUGGUUAAUGUAUUACUUUUAUUUUAUUUUUUUGUCAAAUGAAUUUACAGAUAUUUCUAUACUUUCAAGUGACGAAACGGGAUUUUAGCCUUGCUGUAUGGGUUAAAAUCCAACCCGUUAGAAGGGUAAAUUUUCCAGUCUGUUAAAGUUGGUAUCAGAGUAGUUCCGAUUUACUUUGGAAUGUGAGUGUUGGACUUACUUGUUUUCCGGUUCCGUGUACUUGAUUUUAAGUCGUAAACAAAUUGUUUUGGUUUGUAUCAUCCUUAUUUUCGGUUUUGAUAAACGUAAAGUUGCUUUCGGUUUUAUUGAAUUGCUUUGGGGUUGGGUAAAAAAAAAAUUCAAAGCCAUGAUAUAUAUGUAUAGCUUCUUGUGAGUCUUAGACUCAUAGUUUAAUGAGUGUAGCUAACAAAAUAUAUCCCUAGUCAAUAUUUUGAUGCCUUUCUAAAUAUGUCCCGAAGUGUUAGUAUGGAAACUACAUCAGCUGGAAAGGCGAAAGGUUUUAGUACAAGAACAAAGUGUGCCGCAACAGGCUUGGAGUGAAGAAUAGUGUGUGAUUCAGUUGUGGAGUUGGAAUUGUGUUUGCAUUGUCUAAGUUUCGCAAGUAAGGGCUUUCUUCCUCUUGAUUUAUUAAUCUCUAUACAUAUUAACUAAUCAUGUUUAAUCAAGUUUAUUUUAAGGUCAUGGAUUUUCUUUACUUAGGAAUCAAAUGGAUAUUUGAAUUUCGUUAGUCUGAACAUAAACAUUUCUGAUCUGUGUGCUUUGCGAAAAUGCUUUUAGAACAAAAUUUCAUAUGUGCAUGAUUUAAGGUUGAUAGUUGCAUGAACUUUUUAUUUUUUAUUUUUACAGAACUUAAUUGGAUUCAGUUUUUAUCCUAAUUGCUUAAUAAUAUUUCCUUUCCCAUGAGUUUGAUCUUUGACUUCUGUCUUUGAGGAAAAUGCUUUAGUUUACUGUUUAUGUAUUAUAUAUACAUCUGUCUGAACUCGGAAGGUAUUUUCCUUACAUCCCAACAACCGUUUUCAUAUUAUAUUUGUGUCUUACAUCUUUCUUGUGAAAACAAAAAAUAGGAAGCUUUGUUAUGUGUAAAGUAAACACUCGUUGAUAUUUCACAUUUUAUGAUCUCUGUGUUAAUAUUGGUUUGAGGUUUAUGUUGUCGUGUAUCACAAAAAGAAUUUUAAGUUCUGCUUAUACGUUGUCUCAAUUUUCUGUGAAUUUUUCUUCACACAUUUGUUCAAACUAACGAAAAAUGUAAAUUUGAUUUGUCUUAGUUUAUAUCAUGAUACUACUGAGUUUUCCAAGCCAACUAUUUUGAUCUAAUCUCAUUUGUUAAAUGUUUUCAGAACGAUUUAAUUUGAUUGCCAGCUUGCAUUCUCUGUUUUAUAACCAUUUAAGCCAGAUGUUGUUUCUCUUUAUAUUUCAUUUUGAGAAGGAAUUUAAGACUGGCUCUUACUUGUGUUAUAUCGUUUCUCUUUCAUUAUGUGUCAUUGUACCUAUAUUCAAGGUCAGCAUGAUCUUGUUUUUCUACCAGUACAUUUAGCGCUGAAAGAAACAUUUUAACCUCUUUUAAAAUUCCACAUAUCCUCGUUUGGACGAUACUUUUGAUCCUUUUCACGUGUCUGACUGACAAGGCUUACAAUCGGACCACAAUGUGAACUACGUAAAGAAGUGAUUGCGAAUUCUCGGCACAAAGAAGCAAGUCCUCAAGAUGAAGACCUUCAAGAUGGUGAUGGUGGUGAUGGUGUUUCUCUAACAUCGUAUCUUGGAAGAGGCAUCUUGGAAAACAUAAUUCAGAAUGCAAGAGUAAUAUCGAAAGUCGUACGGGGAUUGUCUUUUAGCCCUUAGUUUUGUUUUGAUUUUCGGGAACGAAAAUAUUUUUCAGUGGGUAAUGGUGUGACAUACGUAAAAAUUUAAUUUGGAUUAUGUGCUUGAGGGAUUGUACAAUGUGGGUGCACCAAAUUUAACACUUUUGUGUCUUGCAUGUGAAAUGCGGGGUGAUUGCCUUGAGUACCAAGUAGGGUGCUAUUAAUACAUUUAGCUAUUCAUAAGGGGGGAAAUUCCAAUUAGUUUUGACUAAGACCAGAAUUGACUUCUUGACACCUAUUAGGAUAUGUGUCGCUAAAAGAAGAGAUGAGGGGUAAUGUUGUUAAUUCAAAAGAAAAUCAGAUUCAUAAUAACCAAUUCACUUUGUUUUCUCAGUUUCUCAUUGUUAUUUUCUCUGUUUUUCUUCUUCUUCCACUUUCUCAUCUUCUUAAGAAACUAGAAGUUCAAAAGAAGGAUUUUGUGUUUUUGCGGCUAGAUUACGAAACCCAUUAAUGAGAUUGGAAUUUGGAUUGGAAUUUUCAGUCAAGAGAUCUUAUUUUGACCUUACGAAAGUUGGAGCUCGGAUUCCCAUUGGUUUAUGUCGCUUUUCGUUUCAAUUCAGGAUGUAUGCUUAAUCGAACUUCGAGAAUACUGCCGACACUCGUAUUUGAAACUACUGGACUCUAUUAUAGGACCGUCAGGCCUUAAUUGGCACCCCAUCUACGGAUGGCAACCCGGAAGACCGUUUGUUUGAUAACGGUUGCUGGUAUCGGGCUAUCCUGACAACGUUCGCCAAAGGAUUAGUAGAGUAAUUUUAUCUAUUUUCAAAUGACUGGCAGAUCAUAAAUGUUUAUGAACAAAUACUUUAAAUUUACUUAUGAAUUUCAGAUUCUAGUUUUAUGCUCUAAUGAUGCUUUAAGCUUUUGGAAUUUCAUUUGUAUAUUUCAUGGCAUUCGAUUACUGUUA